rnacentral:tRNA from 1 species
AGUCAAUUAGCUCAGUGGCAGAGCGUCUGUCCUACAAACAGAACGGCAAAGGUUCAAAUCCUUUAUCGGCUACCA